UACUAUGUAGUACUGUUUUUUAACAUUUUUUUUUUUUGCGCGGAUUGUCCUUCCUUUGGGGUGGUGUUUAAUUUUUGGCCCUCUGAUGGUUUUCAAUUUUUGCCCUUCGUAACCCAGCUCAGUAGAAAAGAAAGAAAAUUCACAAGCCAGCAGAUUAAGGCUAUCUUCUGAGCAGGAGAAACUUCGUAGUAUGUUAAAAGAUGUGCUGAAGAAUCGGCCUAAUGUGGAUGUGGUGAAACUUCAAAAGUCUAAGGAAUGCAAAAAUACAUCAGAAAGCCAGAGGCUACAGAAUACGGGAUGAGAAGAGAUAGGAGAGGAACACAUUAGUAGUUUUCCCACUCCGCGUUUACAGCCGGUGGAUUUGGAGAAAGUGGCUGAGGACCGCUGUCCGAGGAGGGAACGUCGGAGCUGGUUGAGAAGUAUCAUCAUAAAGAUUUUUCUCACCAAAUGAAUUUGGGAAGGAGGGCAAGGGCUCUUGCCUGUAUUGGUGUUGAGCAUGAAAGAAAGCGAAAAGAAGAGGAGGCCUACGAUUGUUUUCCUGCAUAGCACGGACAAAUGCAAAGAGUGGUUGAGGCCAUUGCUUGAGGGAUUUGUUUCAAGGGGAGAUAUCGCUGUUGCAAUUGAUUCUUGAUACCAGGGAGAACGUGCAACCAGCUUGACAACCUAUCGAGAUGCCCUAGAGUCGUCAUGGAAAAAUGAUGAUACAAUGCCGUUCAUAUUUGAUACGGUAAUAUUGAAAAAACUAACCUGAUUCUACCAUUUGAAAAACUUGGUGAAAUCUGGUUAUUAUUCUCAAACCGCCGUAGUCAGUUGAUAUGGAGCUCUGACCAUAUCUUUACUGCCCUUUGAAUGUUUGGGACUUGAUAAAACUGGCUGAUUAUCUGUAUACGGUCAAUUUGGCCAUGUUUAUGAAUGAAAUACAUUUACUUGAUCAAAAAAGAAAAAAACACGCUGAUUAUCUUACUGAGAGGGAAGAUGUUGACCUAUCAAAGAUAGGAAUCACUGGCGAAUCUGGACCAAUGAUUCACUGUGGUCCAAAGUCCUCAGAGCUAAAUACUGCAUUAGAGGGCAUGUUGUCACCAAGAAAUGGAGAUCUGGGCAGUUCCAUGAUUGGCAGAAACUGAUGCAGAUCAAACAUGAAGCUGAGAAAUGCAUUAUAUGGGAAACCAGUAGGGGAGAUAGUAGCUUCUGGUGGGAUAAUUGGACAGGGCUUGGCCCCUAUCCAAUUAUGCUGAAAACUAACCAAAUGUGGUAAACUUAUGGUUGCUGCUUUCAUUAGUGAUGGGAAGUGGAUCAUGGAUAAAUGCUAUGAUCUACUACCAGUUGAUGUUGUGCAACACAUAAGCCUUAUCAGAAUUGGUAAAAGUGAUAAAGAUGAUUUACCUAUAUGGAAUGACACUAAUGAUGGAUGUUUUUCUAACAGGUCAGCUUGGAUGAUGAUAAGAAGCAAAAGACAAAAGGAUGAAUUCAUGAAGAAAUUGUGGAGCAAGCAUAUACCCUUCAAAAUAUCAUUUAUGGUAUGGACGGUACUAAAAAGGAGGAUUCCUUUUAAUGAGAUCCUGAACCAGCAUAGGAGUCCUUAGAAUAAAUUGAAGUCAAGCUGCUGCUGCUGCUGCACAGUGCCUCAGCCAGAAACAAUUCAGCAUGUAGUUGUAGAGAGUGAAGCUCCAAAGCAGAUAUGGUACUAUUAUGGAAGACCUCUAGGUAUGGUACAUCAGGUCAUGUCCAUCAAGGAACUGCUGAACAGAUGGUGGAAUAUGAAUUGCAAAAAUCAAGUGCACAGAAUGAUAUUUCAAACUGUUCCUCUGAUGAUAAUAUCGGAGAUAUGGAAAACUUGGUGCUCUUAUAAACAUGGGGAGCAAAAGAGGUUCUUGUAUAGUAGGAUGAUAUACCAAAUUCUGUGGAAUAUUAAAUCAGCUGUUGGUUUAGCUAUCCAAAACUGUGACUGGGCUAUGCCUGGGAUUAGGUUGUGUGAUACGGUAGAAAGACUGAAGCCUGUUUUAAAUGGAAGAAGGUAUGGUGGGAAAAACCUCCAAUGGGUAAAGGUAAAUACAGAUGGGAGCUUUAUACAGGGGAGUGGAGAAGCAGGGAUUGGUGGACUUGUUAGAGAUGAUCAGGGAAACUUUAUCGUGGCUUUCUCUCCACAAGUUAACUGUAAGAACAACAAUGAAGGAUCUAUCGAAAGGACGUGAAAUGAAAUUGUAUUUGGUUUCUACUUUUAGUUGGAAAAUGAAGAGCUUGAUGGGCUGAAGUGUUUUUUAUCUUUGUAACUUCAUCAUUUUCCUUUUUUGAAACAAAUAAAAAUUAUGAAUUUUUUCCAUAUGAACCAAAACAAUGAAAAUUCUCAGUAUGAAUUUGAUAAACUUUUCAUGACAGCAAACUUUUUUAGGCACUGAA